UGACCAGACUCCUACGGGAGGCAGCAGUGGGGAAUAUUGCGCAAUGGGCGAAAGCCUGACGCAGCGACGCCGCGUGAGGGAUGAAGGUCUUCGGAUCGUAAACCUCUGUCAGCAGGGAAGAACGGUCACUGUGCUAAUCAGCAGUGAAUUGACGGUACCUGCAAAGGAAGCACCGGCUAAUUCCGUGCCAGCAGCCGCGGUAAUACGGAAGGUCCGGGCGUUAUCCGGAUUUAUUGGGUUUAAAGGGAGCGUAGGCCGGCUUUUAAGUCAGCUGUGAAAGUCCGCGGCUCAACCGUGGAAUUGCAGUUGAAACUGGAGGCCUUGAGUGCACACAGGGAUGCCGGAAUUCAUGGUGUAGCGGUGAAAUGCUUAGAUAUCAUGAAGAACUCCGAUCGCGAAGGCAAGUGUCCGGGGUGCAACUGACGCUGAGGCUCGAAAGUGCGGGUAUCAAACAGGAUUAGAUACCCCAGUA
rnacentral:rRNA from 1 species